CCAGACUCCUACGGGAGGCAGCAGUCGGGAAUAUUGCGCAAUGGAGGAAACUCUGACGCAGUGACGCCGCGUGCAGGAAGAAGGUUUUCGGAUUGUAAACUGCUUUAGAUAGGGAAGAAAAAAAUGACAGUACCUAUAGAAUAAGCUCCGGCUAACUACGUGCCAGCAGCCGCGGUAAUACGUAGGGAGCGAGCGUUAUCCGGAUUUAUUGGGUGUAAAGGGUGCGUAGAUGGAUAAACAAGUUGGUUGUGAAAUCCCUCGGCUUAACUGAGGAAUUGCAACCAAAACUGUAGAUCUUGAGUACUGGAGGGGAAAGCGGAAUUCCUAGUGUAGCGGUGAAAUGCGUAGAUAUUAGGAAGAACACCGGUGGCGAAGGCGGCUUUCUGGACAGAAACUGACAUUGAGGCACGAAAGUGUGGGGAGCAAACAGGAUUAGAUACCCCAGUA
rnacentral:rRNA from 1 species